GACGAACGCUGGCGGCGUGCCUAAUACAUGCAAGUAGAACGCUGAAGAGAGGAGCUUGCUCUUCUUGGAUGAGUUGCGAACGGGUGAGUAACGCGUAGGUAACCUGCCUUGUAGCGGGGGAUAACUAUUGGAAACGAUAGCUAAUACCGCAUAACAAUGGAUGACACAUGUCAUUUAUUUGAAAGGGGCAAUUGCUCCACUACAAGAUGGACCUGCGUUGUAUUAGCUAGUAGGUGAGGUAAUGGCUCACCUAGGCGACGAUACAUAGCCGACCUGAGAGGGUGAUCGGCCAAACGGGGAAUGGGACCCGGCCCAGACUCCUACGGGAGGCAGCAGUAGGGAAUCUUCGGCAAUGGGGGCAACCCUGACCGAGCAACGCCGCGUGAGUGAAGAAGGUUUUCGGAUCGUAAAGCUCUGUUGUAAGUCAAGAACGGGUGCGAGAGUGGAAAGUUCACACUGUGACGGUAGCUUACCAGAAAGGGACGGCUAACUACGUG
rnacentral:rRNA from 1 species